GGGAAAUUUACUUUGAUAUACAAGUGCUUUGGAUUACAAGCAUGUUUCUGGAAUGAAUUAUGCUUGCAAACCAACACUGUAUUUGUAAAAUAAACAGAAGCUGAAAAGCAAUCACAGUUCUCUGAUGUUGUAAUGUCCAAAUAGUCGUUUCAUUUGUAACUGAUUUCUACAUGUGAUAGUGUGUAAGAGAGCAGUGGGCCAUCAUCUUCCCUAGCCUUCACAAUUAAAGUGUUAAUAGCCAAGUAAGGGUAUAUGCUCCAUAUUUUCUUUCACCACUCCACUGGAAGAAUAAAUGCUUGUUUUCUGGAACUUUAGCAUAAACCAGGGGCACUGGCCUUGCUGACUGUCUUGAGUAAUGGUUAGGAGUGACGUUUGGGAGCUAUGCCAGUGUGAUUUGUUCUGAAAGUGUGCAGACCAUCUGAGUUUCACAGCCAUAAGAAAUAUUGGGUUGUUAUAACAAAUACCACUAAAAGAUACGUGUGCUCUAGGGAACAAAUGGAUUUUUAAAUAGGUGGCUUUAUGCCUGUAUACCUUAUGUCAGGUUGCCUCAAAAUAAUAAUUUAUUUACCAAUAAGAGAGUAGUAAAUUAAUUCUGUAGUAAAGGAGUAUUCGAUUUGUUUUUACUAAAAUUUUUUAAUGUUUACUUAUGUUGAGAGAGAGAGCAGGCAGGGGAGAGGGAGAAAGAGGGAGACGGAGAAUCCCAAGCAGGUUGCACAUCGUCAGUGAAGAGCCCGAUAAUAGGGCUUGAACUCACGAACCAUGAGCUCAUGGCCUGAGCUGAAACCGAGUCGAACACUUAACUGACUGAGCCACCCAGGCACCCCAAGGGGAGUUCAAUUUAUAACCUAGUCAGAAGGAAACUGUGAAAAUAUCAGCUGUUACUAUAUCAAGAGUUUACGAUUUUUUUAUUUUUGUUUUUUGUUUUUUGUUUUUUGCCUUAUUUUGAUUUGCAAAGUAUUGGCUACUAUUUGACUUCUGCCAAAUCAGAUUUAGGGAACAUUUACAUUUUCUGGUUCCUUCCCAUAUAUUUUCAAUCUUAACCCUCAGUACUCUAUUUGGUGAAUUCCAUAACAAAUUUAAAUUGGUUAGAAUUACUUUACCAGAGAUCUUAGAGUAGGUUGAAUUAAAAACUCAAUUCCUCAGUUGUCCUAACCAUAUAUCAAGUGUUCACAUGUGACUAGGGGAUACCAUGUGAGAUAGUUCCGAUGCAGAAUACAGAAUACAUCCAUUAUCUCAGAAAGUCCACUGGACAGCCUUGUCUCCUUCAUCUGCUUGCCAAAAGGGAAAGAAAGUGUGGAGGAGGCAGAUUCUCUUCUAAAAAGCCUUGGCCUGGACAUGGAACACAUCACUUCCGCUCACAUUUCAUUGGUGGAAGAUGAGGCAAAAGUGUCACUGUGCCAGUUCUGAGCCUCCAGUUUAAGAAACCUGUGGGUUUCUGCCAUCACAAUGAGAAAAACCUGCUUGGGGCAGCUGGUCCCAGGAAGAGGUUGAUGGACAUAUGGAAGAGUGUUACCAGCUGGCUCCUCUUACACUAGCCAACCCUCAGCAGAUGCAUGUUCUAAAUAAAUGCUUAUUAUUAUA